AGAGGUUGAUCCUGGCUCAGAGUGAACGCUGGCGGCGUGCCUAACACAUGCAAGUCGAACGGUAACAGGGACUUCGGUCUGCUGACGAGUGGCGCACGGGUGAGUAAAGUAUAGGUUACGUGCCUUGAAGUCCGGGAUAGCCACUGGAAACGGUGAUUAAUACCGGAUAUUCCGCUUCGGCGGGAAAGGUUUUUCGCUUCAAGAUCGGCCUAUAUCGUAUCAGCUAGUUGGUGGGGUAAGAGCCCACCAAGGCGAUGACACGUAGCGGGUUUGAGAGGAUGAUCCGCCACACUGGUACUGAGACACGGACCAGACUCCUACGGGAGGCAGCAGUGAGGAAUAUUGCACAAUGGGGGAAACCCUGAUGCAGCAACGCCGCGUGGAGGAUGACGCAUUUCGGUGUGUAAACUCCUUUUAUAUGAGAAGAUUAUGACGGUAUCAUAUGAAUAAGCGCCGGCUAACUCCGUGCCAGCAGCCGCGGUAAUACGGAGGGCGCAAGCGUUACUCGGAAUCACUGGGCGUAAAGGACGCGUAGGCGGGUUUUUAAGUCAGGUGUGAAAUCCUAUGGCUCAACCAUAGAACUGCAUUUGAAACUGGGAACCUAGAGUAUGGGAGGGGCAGAUGGAAUUAGUGGUGUAGGGGUAAAAUCCGUAGAGAUCACUAGGAAUACCGAAAGCGAAGGCGAUCUGCUGGAACAUAACUGACGCUGAGGCGUGAAAGCGUGGGGAGCAAACAGGAUUAGAUACCCUGGUAGUCCACGCCCUAAACGAUGAAUGCUAGUCGUCGGGGCUCUCGUAGUCCCGGUGAUGCACCUAACGGAUUAAGCAUUCCGCCUGGGGAGUACGGUCGCAAGAUUAAAACUCAAAGGAAUAGACGGGGACCCGCACAAGUGGUGGAGCAUGUGGUUUAAUUCGAAGAUACACGAAGAACCUUACCUGGCCUUGACAUUGAUAGAAUCUUCCAGAGAUGGAGGAGUGCUAGUUUACUAGAGCUUGAAAACAGGUGCUGCACGGCUGUCGUCAGCUCGUGUCGUGAGAUGUUGGGUUAAGUCCCGCAACGAGCRCAACCCUCGUCCUUAGUUGCCAGCAGUUCGGCUGGGCACUCUAGGGAGACUGCCUUCGCAAGGAGGAGGAAGGUGAGGACGACGUCAAGUCAUCAUGGCCCUUACGGCCAGGGCUACACACGUGCUACAAUGGGGCGUACAGCGUGUUGCGAUACCGCGAGGUGGAGCCAAUCACAAAAGCGUCUCUCAGUUCGGAUUGUUCUCUGCAACUCGAGAGCAUGAAGCUGGAAUCACUAGUAAUCGUAGAUCAGCUAAGCUACGGUGAAUACGUUCCCGGGUCUUGUACUCACCGCCCGUCACACCAUGGGAGUUGAUUUCMCCCGAAAUCGGGAAGCUAAAGUAGCUACCGCUUACGGUGGAAUCUUCCACUGGGGUGAAGUCGUAACAAGGUAACC
rnacentral:rRNA from 1 species